AGCAUAUUAAUGAGGGGAGGAAAAGAAACUAACAAGGAUUUUCUUAGUAGCGGCGAGCGAAAAGAAAAUAGUUCAGCACUAAGUCACUUUGUCUUUAUGGCAAAUGUGAGAUGCAGUGUAUGGAAUGUCAAAUUUCUAGUAUGAGAAAUUAACGAUUUAAGUCCUUCUUAAAUGAGGCCAUUUACCCAAAGAGGGUGCCAGGCCCGUAUAACGUUAAUGAUUACUAGAUGGCAUUUCCAAAGAGUCGUGUUGCUUGAUAGUGCAGCACUAAGUGGGUGGUAAACUCCAUCUAAAACUAAAUAUAACCAUGAGACCGAUAGUAAACAAGUACCGUGAGGGAAAGUUGAAAAGAACUCUGAAUAGAGAGUUAAAUAGUACGUGAAACUGCUUAGAGGUUAAGCCCGAUGAACCUGAAUAUCCGUUAUGGAAAAUUCAUCAUUAUGAUUUUAAUAUUUAUAAUAUUAUAAUAAUGGUGUGCAUUUUUUCUAUAAAGGACAUUGUAAUCUAUUAACAUAAAUAUAUUUAUCAUAAGAUCAUUUGCGUAAGUUUAUUCAAAUUAUUUUGCUUGCAUUCUAAUAUCGAAUAAAUGCUUUUGAUUUGAUAAAGUGUUGAUAGAUUUAUUAUAUAUAGUGCUUAAAUAUUUAUAUUUUAUAAUAACAUAUUGAUCAUUGAUUUUUAUGUUUAUUAUAUGCACUUAUAUGAUUAACAAUGCGAAAGAUUCAGGAUACCUUCGGGACCCGUCUUGAAACACGGACCAAGGAGUCUAACAUAUUUGCAAGUUAUUGGGAAUAAAAACCUAAUAGCGUAAUUAACAUAACUUAAUUAAUGGGAUUAGUUUUUAGCCUAUUUAUAGUCUAUUAAUUCAAUCCCGGGGCGUUCUAUACAGUUAUGUAUAAUAAUAUUUAUAUUAUUUAUACCUCUAACUAGAGCGUACCUUGAGCAUAUAUGCUGUGACCCGAAAGAUGGUGAACUAUACUUGAUCAGGUUGAAGUCAGGGGAAACCCUGAUGGAAGACCGAAACAGUUCUGACGUGCAAAUCGAUUGUCAGAAUUGAGUAUAGGGGCGAAAGACCAAUCGAACCAUCUAGUAGCUGGUUCCCUCCGAAGUUUCCCUCAGGAUAGCUGGUGCAUUUAAAAAUUAUGUAAAAUAAUCUUAUCUGGUAAAGCGAAUGAUUAGAGGCCUUAGGGUCGAAACGAUCUUAACCUAUUCUCAAACUUUAAAUGGGUAAGAACCUCACCUUUCUUGGUAUGAAGGUUGUGGUUGUGAUAUAAUGUGCCCAGUGGGCCACUUUUGGUAAGCAGAACUGGCGCUGUGGGAUGAACCAAACGUAAUGUUACGGUGCCCAAAUUAACAACUCAUGCAGAUACCAUGAAAGGCGUUGGUUGCUUAAAACAGCAGGACGGUGGACAUGGAAGUCGUAAUCCGCUAAGGAGUGUGUAACAACUCACCUGCCGAAGCAACUAGCCCUUAAAAUGGAUGGCGCUUAAGUUGUAUACCUAUACAUUACCGCUAAAGUAGAUGGUUUAUGUUCAAUUUCGGUUGGAUUAUAAACUUUGAAACUUUAGUGAGUAGGAGGGUACAAUGGUGAGCAUAGAAGUGUUUGGCGUAAGCCUGCAUGGAGCUGCCAUUGGUACAGAUCUUGGUGGUAGUAGCAAAUAAUCGAAUGAGACCUUGGAGGACUGAAGUGGAGAAGGGUUUCGUGUGAACAGUGGUUGAUCACGAGUUAGUCGGUCCUAAGUUCAAGGCGAAAGCCGAAAAUUUUCAAGUUAUAAUGAAAAGUAAGUAAAAUUGCUUAGUAAUUAAACACUUGAAUAAUUUUGAACGAAAGGGAAUACGGUUCCAAUUCCGUAACCUGUUGAGUAUCCGUUUGUUAUUAAAUAUGGGCCUUGUGCUCAUCCUGGCAACAGGAACGACCAUAAAGAAGCCGUCGAGAGGUAUCGGAAGAGUUUUCUUUUCUGUUUUAUAGUCGUACUACCAUGGAAGUCUUUCGAAGAGAGAUAUGGUAGAUGGACUAGAAGAGCAUGACAUUUACUGUUGUGUCGAUAUUUUCUCCUCGGACCUUGAAAAUUUAUGGUGGGGUCACGCAAACUUCUCAACAGGCCGUACCAAUAUCCGCAGCUGGUCUCCAAGGUGAAGAGUCUCUAGUCGAUAG
rnacentral:rRNA from 1 species